CAGUGUUUGUGACAUCAGUUCCCAGCCGUAAUGAAACCACUUUGGUUUGGACCCUGAACCAUUGGUACCUGGUGGCCCUUCUUCUGCCACUGGUGAUACUGGUCAUCAUCAUCUGUAUGCUCAGAAAGAAAUGUGAGUUAGAGAAUCAAACCAGGAUCAGAGAGAGGAGCAAUGACACGACUGUUCCCACAGUUAGUAAUGUGUC